AAAAAUAGUACUUAAUUUAAAUCAUAGGAUAAUAAGUAGUCAGAUAAAUUAAUAAGUAAAGUUUAAAGAAAAAAAUAAAGCAAAAAUAAUAAAAAUAAUAUUAACAUAAAAAUAUUAAACAGAUUGAUAAAUCAUAAACGAAUCAAUUAAUGGACUACAUCGAAAUCAAAACUAAAUUACAAGGAAAAAACAAAAAUAAAACAAAACGGAGAGCCAGAGUAUAAUGCGCGAAUAACAUGGGGGCCAUAUUGGAAAUAUCCCACCUCCC
rnacentral:lncRNA from 1 species